GAGGACCCCAUCUCAUUACUUUCCUUUGCUCUCACUUGCUGGAACAUGGCAGAACCGUGGGGAGAUUGGAUGCUGCCGAGCACAGGAAGUGAGAAAGACCAAGAGUUCGGCCAACUCUGCUGAGAGAAGCAUCUUGGAGAUGCUGCUGAGAAAGGAACCGAGGCAGCACAGGCCUGUGGCACCACCUAGGGGAAGAAGUGCCCCUGGGCUCGCCGCUGGUGCAAGCAGACUCAUUGCAAAUCAACCCAAUUUAUGAAAAUGCAGGAUUCACUUGAAGAAUAAAAAAUGAGAUGGAGAGAAAGGAAAA